ACAGCAGCAGCCGCGGUAAUACAGAGGGUGCGAGCGUUAAUCGGAUUUACUGGGCGUAAAGCGUGCGUAGGCGGCUUUUAAGUCGGAUGUGAAAUCCCUGAGCUUAACUUAGGAAUUGCAUUCGAUACUGGGAAGCUAGAGUAUGGGAGAGGAUGGUAGAAUUCCAGGUGUAGCGGUGAAAUGCGUAGAGAUCUGGAGGAAUACCGAUGGCGAAGGCAGCCAUCUGGCCUAAUACUGACGCUGAGGUACGAAAGCAUGGGGAGCAAACAGGAUUAGAUACCCCCGUAGUCCCUGUCUCUUAUACC
rnacentral:rRNA from 1 species